rnacentral:rRNA from 1 species
AUUGAACGCUGGCGGCAGGCCUAACACAUGCAAGUCGAGCGGAUGAAGGGAGCUUGCUCCUGGAUUCAGCGGCGGACGGGUGAGUAAUGCCUAGGAAUCUGCCUGGUAGUGGGGGAUAACGUCCGGAAACGGGCGCUAAUACCGCAUACGUCCUGAGGUCGAAAGUGGGGGAUCUUCGGACCUCACGCUAUCAGAUGAGCAUAGGUCGGAUUAGCUAGUUGGUGGGGUAAAGGCCUACCAAGGCGACGAUCCGUAACUGGUCUGAGAGGAUGAUCAGUCACACUGGAAGUGAGACAGGGCACAGACUCUGAGGGGAGGAAGCAGUGGGGAAUAUUGGACGAUGGGGGAAAGCCUGAUUCAGCAAUGCCGCGUGUGUGAAGAAGGUCUUAGGAUGGUAAAGCACUUUAAGUUGGGAGGAAGGGCAGUAAGUUAACACCUUGUUGUUUUGACGUUACCAACAGAAUAAGCACCGGCUAACUUCGUG